GAGACUCUGUGCGCGUGCAUAUCAAUAAGCGGAGGAAAAGAAACUAACGAGGAUUCCCCUAGUAACGGCGAGUGAAGCGGGAAGAGCUCAAAUUUGAAAUCUUAAAGGGUUUCCCUUUACGAAUUGUAGUUUAAAGAAGUGUUUUCUGUUGGAGUUUCGGUAAAAGUUCUUUGGAAUAGGACAUCAUAGAGGGUGAGAAUCCCGUAUUUGACCGUUACUUUCCAGCUGUGAGAUACACUUUCAAAGAGUCGGAUUGUUUGGGAAUGCAGUCCAAAAUGGGUGGUAAAUUUCAUCUAAAGCCAAAUAUUGGCGAGAGACCGAUAGCGAACAAGUACCGUGAGGGAAAGAUGAAAAGAACUUUGAAAAGAGAGUUAAACAGUACGUGAAAUUGUCAAAAGGGAAGCGUUUGACACCAGUGUUGUUUAGUUGAAAAUCAAUUCAAUAAUUUUUGAUUUUGAGUAGUAUUGACUUCAUCAGCUUGCUGCUUUCUUUUCAGGAAAUUAUUGAAUGCACUUUUCAGUUAACAAGUCAACAUCAAUUUCUUUUGUUGUAAAAGGGUAAGAGGAAGGUGGCUUACGCUUCGGCGUAAGUGUUUAUAGGCCUUUUACCUCUGCAAUCGGAGAGAUUGAGGACAGCAGCGUAGACUCUUCGGGGUUAGAUACACUUGUGCUAAGCUAUAGCCUUGUAUAGACAACUUGUUGACUAUGCUCAGUCAUGUAGCUUACUCGCUUGUGCUAUUUUACCUACGCUUAGGAUGUUGAAGCUGUAGUGCGUGCGC
rnacentral:rRNA from 1 species